rnacentral:rRNA from 1 species
UGGGGAAUAUUGCGCAAUGGGGGAAACCCUGAUCCAGCGACGCCGCGUGUGUGAAGAAGGCCUGCGGGUUGUAAAGCACUUUCGGUGGGAACGAAAUAUGCCGGGCUAAUACCCCGGUAGGCUGACGUUACUCAAUGAAGAAGCACCGGCUAACUCUGUGCCAGCAGCCGCGGUAAUACAGAGGGUGCGAGCGUUAAUCGGAAUUACUGGGCGUAAAGCGCACGUAGGUGGCGACGUAAGUCGGGUGUGAAAGCCCCGGGCUCAACCUGGGAACCGCAUUCGAGACUGCGUUGCUGGAGUACGGAAGAGGAGGGCGGAAUUCCCGGUGUAGCGGUGAAAUGCGUAGAUAUCGGGAGGAACAUCAGUGGCGAAGGCGGCCCUCUGGUCCAGUACUGACACUCAAGUGCGAAAGCGUGGGGAGCAAACAGGAUUAGAUACCCUUGUAGUCCCUGAGCGGGCUGGCAAGGCGCAU